GCAUUAAUGGGGUAGUGGUAACCUGGGUCGUUGCCAUCCGAGUCUUGACUCGACCCGCCGGGGGUUCGAUUCCCUCUUAAUGCA
rnacentral:tRNA from 1 species